rnacentral:rRNA from 1 species
GCGUAACACGUAUGCAACCUACCUAUUAUUGGGGGAUAGCCUUUGGAAACGGAGAUUAACACCGCAUAAUACGAUUAACUGGCAUCGGUUGAUUCGUUAAAGCAUUUGCGAUAAUAGAUGGGCAUGCGUCCAAUUAGUUAGUUGGUGUGGUAAUGGCUCACCAAGACGAUGAUUGGUAGGGGAUCUGAGAGGAUAAUCCCCCACACUGGCACUGAGAUACGGGCCAGACUCCUACGGGAGGCAGCAGUAGGGAAUAUUGGGCAAUGGGCGGAAGCCUGACCCAGCCAUGCCGCGUGCAGGAAGACGGCGUUAUGCGUUGUAAACUGCUUUUUUAUAGGAAGAAGGAUCCCUUGCGAGGGAAGGUGACGGUACUAUAAGAAUAAGCACCGGCUAACUCCGUUCCAGCAGCCGCGGUAAUACGGAGGGUGCAAGCGUUGUCCGGAUUUAUUGGGUUUAAAGGGUGCGUANGCGGUUUAUUAAGUCAGUGGUGAAAGACGGUCGCUCAACGAUUGCAGUGCCAUUGAUACUG